rnacentral:rRNA from 1 species
CGUCUAUAUACGUAUAGCAUAUCAAUAAGCGGAGGAAAAGAAACUAACAAGGAUUCCCUUAGUAACGGCGAGUGAAGCGGGAAGAGCUCAAAUUUGAAAUCUUCAAGGUUUUACCUUGACGAAUUGUAGUUUAAAGAAGUGUUUUCUGUUAGAUGAGUUAGGCUAAAAGUUCCUUGGAAUAGGACAUCAUAGAGGGUGAGAAUCCCGUAUUUGGUUAUUCAUUCUAGCUGUGUGAUACACUUUCAAAGAGUCGGAUUGUUUGGGAAUGCAGUCCAAAAUGGGUGGUAAAUUUCAUCUAAAGCUAAAUAUUGGCGAGAGACCGAUAGCGAACAAGUACCGUGAGGGAAAGAUGAAAAGAACUUUGAAAAGAGAGUUAAACAGUACGUGAAAUUGUCAAAAGGGAAGCGUUUGACACCAGUGUUGUUUUCUCGAAAAUCAAUUAAAAAGAGUUGGAUUUUGUGUUGUAUUGACCUUAACAGCUUGCUUCACUCUUUUUCCUGUCUUUUUUAAUGCACUUUUCGUUUAACAAGUCAACAUCAAUUUCUUUUGUUGUAAAAGGGUCAUUGGAAGGUGGCUUUCUUUUCGGAGAAAGUGUUUAUAGCCUUUGGCCUCUGCAAUCGGAGAGAUUGAGGUCUGCAGCGUAGAUCCUUCGGGGUUAGAUACAUUUGUGCUAAGUUAUAGCCUUUCAUAGACAACUUGUUGACUAUGAUCAGUCAUGUAGCUUACUCGCUUAUGCUAUUUUACCUACGCUUAGGAUGUUGAUGUGAUACUGCGAGCA